UCAGAUUGAACGCUGGCGGCAGGCCUAACACAUGCAAGUCGAGCGGAAACGAGUUAUCUGAACCUUCGGGGAACGAUAACGGCGUCGAGCGGCGGACGGGUGAGUAAUGCCUAGGAAAUUGCCUUGAUGUGGGGGAUAACCAUUGGAAACGAUGGCUAAUACCGCAUAAUGCCUACGGGCCAAAGAGGGGGACCUUCGGGCCUCUCGCGUCAAGAUAUGCCUAGGUGGGAUUAGCUAGUUGGUGAGGUAAUGGCUCACCAAGGCGACGAUCCCUAGCUGGUCUGAGAGGAUGAUCAGCCACACUGGAACUGAGACACGGUCCAGACUCCUACGGGAGGCAGCAGUGGGGAAUAUUGCACAAUGGGCGAAAGCCUGAUGCAGCCAUGCCGCGUGUAUGAAGAAGGCCUUCGGGUUGUAAAGUACUUUCAGUUGUGAGGAAGGGGGUGUCGUUAAUAGCGGCAUCUCUUGACGUUAGCAACAGAAGAAGCACCGGCUAACUCCGUGCCAGCAGCCGCGGUAAUACGGAGGGUGCGAGCGUUAAUCGGAAUUACUGGGCGUAAAGCGCAUGCAGGUGGUUCAUUAAGUCAGAUGUGAAAGCCCGGGGCUCAACCUCGGAACUGCAUUUGAAACUGGUGAACUAGAGUACUGUAGAGGGGGGUAGAAUUUCAGGUGUAGCGGUGAAAUGCGUAGAGAUCUGAAGGAAUACCAGUGGCGAAGGCGGCCCCCUGGACAGAUACUGACACUCAGAUGCGAAAGCGUGGGGAGCAAACAGGAUUAGAUACCCUGGUAGUCCACGCCGUAAACGAUGUCUACUUGGAGGUUGUGGCCUUGAGCCGUGGCUUUCGGAGCUAACGCGUUAAGUAGACCGCCUGGGGAGUACGGUCGCAAGAUUAAAACUCAAAUGAAUUGACGGGGGCCCGCACAAGCGGUGGAGCAUGUGGUUUAAUUCGAUGCAACGCGAAGAACCUUACCUACUCUUGACAUCCAGAGAAGCCAGCGGAGACGCAGGUGUGCCUUCGGGAGCUCUGAGACAGGUGCUGCAUGGCUGUCGUCAGCUCGUGUUGUGAAAUGUUGGGUUAAGUCCCGCAACGAGCGCAACCCUUAUCCUUGUUUGCCAGCGAGUAAUGUCGGGAACUCCAGGGAGACUGCCGGUGAUAAACCGGAGGAAAGUGGGGACGACGUCAAGUCAUCAUGGCCCUUACGAGUAGGGCUACACACGUGCUACAAUGGCGCAU
rnacentral:rRNA from 1 species